rnacentral:snoRNA from 1 species
UACCUGAAAGUGAUGAAACAUAUACGGAUUAUUAAUAUAUCCGAGAGCGCAUAAAACUCAUGUGGAUAAUGCCGUUGCCUUCCUUCUGAUUCAGGU